rnacentral:lncRNA from 1 species
AUGCAAAGCCGUUCUGAAGCAGAGCCCCCUCGUGGGGCUUCCUCUCACAGGUCUGAGGGGCUCUGUGGUUUUCAUUCUCCUUUUUGUUUUCUCCACCUUCUAAGUCGUUCGCUUCAGCUACUCGAGCCCUCGUGUGGGGAGCAGGUUCUGUUGCUGGGUGGGGCCCACCUGCCCAGCGCUGACACCUGCCACUCGUGUUUGCUCUCCGCACGCUGUCUCAGCUCGGUUCUUCUUUGGGUCCUGCCCAUCCCCGCUGGCCUCAGGAGUGGUUUCUGCCUUCAGCCCAGAGCGUUCCAGAGCCGGGGUCUCUGGGACGCGGCAGAGGAAAGCAGUCAUCUCCUUACCCAUAAGCCACCUCCCUCCACACAGCCUGCUGGGAAGCGUGAUACAGCCUCCGGGGACCUGACAUUGGCCUGGGGAGAAAUGCCACUCGCACGUUACAGGGUUGGCACCGACAGCACCCACUCUUGAAGGGGCAGAGUGGACCAGAGUGCAUUCCAUGCAGAAUUGUUCAAUAUUAGGCUCCAUGCGUGAGCCCUCAGGGCUGUCUUCCGCUUUGUGACGCCUGUGCGCACGGCAGUAAUAAAAUCAUUUUAUAGAUGAAGCCGUUGGGACUU